ACUGCUCAGUAACACGUGGACAACCUGCCCAAAGGUCCGGGAUAACCCCGGGAAACUGGGGAUAAUACCGGAUAAAUCACGAGUACUGGAAGGUUUUGUGGUUGAAACUUCCGGGGCCUUUGGAUGGGUCUGCGGCGGAUUAGGUUGUUGCCGGUGUAACGUACCGUCAAGCCUGUAAUCCGUACGGGUUGUGGGAGCAAGAGCCCGGAGAUGGAUUCUGAGACACGAAUCCAGGCCCUACGGGGCGCAGCAGGCGCGAAAACUCUACAAUGCAGGCAACUGCGAUAGGGGAACAUCGAGUGAUACUCAUUUUGGGUGUCUGUCCCACCGUCUAAAAAACGGUGGUUAGCAAGGGCCGGGCAAGACCGGUGCCAGCCGCCGCGGUAAUACCGGCGGCUCGAGUGGUGGCCGAUAUUAUUGAGUCUAAAGGGUCCGUAGCCGGCUUUGCAAGUCUUUUGGGAAAUCCAGCGGCUUAACCGUUGGUCGUCCGGGAGAUACUACAUUGCUUGGGACUGGGAGAGGUAAGAGGUACUCAGGGGGUAGGAGUGAAAUCCUGUAAUCCUUUGGGGACCACCGGUGGCGAAGGCGUCUUACCAGAACAGGUCCGACGGUGAGGGACGAAAGCUAGGGGCACGAACCGGAUUAGAUACCCGGGUAGUCCUAGCCGUAAACGAUGCUCGCUAGGUGUCACAACAAUCGUGAAUUGUUGUGGUGCCGUAGGGAAGCCGUGAAGCGAGCCACUUGGGAAGUACGACCGCAAGGUUGAAACUUAAAGGAAUUGGCGGGGGAGCAC
rnacentral:rRNA from 1 species